rnacentral:rRNA from 1 species
UACGUAGGCAGCGAGCGUUGUUCGGAGUUACUGGGCGUAAAGGGUGCGUAGGUGGCGGGGUAAGUCAGGUGUGAAAUCUCGGAGCUCAACUCCGAAACUGCACUUGAUACUGCCUUGCUCGAGUACUGGAGAGGAGAUUGGAAUUUACGGUGUAGCAGUGAAAUGCGUAGAUAUCGGGAGGAACACCUGUGGCGAAAGCGGCUCACUGGACCAUUACUGACGCUGAUGCUCGAAAGCUAGGGGAGCAAACAGG